GUAUGCUCCUCAAAGUUAAAACUCCUAAAUUAGACUGUUCUCCAUGAAAAGUGGACCACCCAAAAUAGAGAAAAGCAAAGAGAAGUAAGUUAUAUCAUUUUCAAUUCAAUUCUUUUUUAUGGACCACUCUUCCACUCUCCUCUUCUUUCAUUCUCAAUUCUUCUGCGUUUGGCCAUACCACACCCACAUUGCUUGCUCACUUUUGGUUAUGAAUUCGACACAUUUGAGUAUCUUAGGCCAUCUUUCUCCACCCAAUAUCGAAAAGACGAUAAGCAAUAAUCAAUUCUUGAACGAUUCCAGCUGGUUCUUCUUUUCUCAUUUAGGAUUUGAAAGCAUAA